CACCUCCUCCCUCUGCGUAUUCUAAGGAAUUUCGGCCUUUUCUUUUUGUGGUGGUUGGUUGUUGGGUUCUAGGGCUGUGUGGCCAAAUCAGUCUGUGAAGUGAAAUGGGACUAGGGUGAGGCUUUCGAUCCCUGCUCAUGCCCUCGGGCUCGGGGCUGGAGGCCGCUGGACUGGGGUUUGAGAAAGCCGCCCUCCCACGCCCCUCCCGGGCGCGCAUAGGGGGAGGUUUCCAGUUCAGGAGUCCUUGGGCCUCCAUUCGGGCAAGUUAGCCGGUCACAACUAGAAGAGGGACCUUCCAUCCUUGUCCUGGCUGCUUGAGACCUGGUAUACAGCCUCCCCCAAACUCCACUGCCUAGAACAGCGACGAGCAAGCGGUCACCGACCAAAGGCCCCCUCGGUUGGGUCCCUGCAAGACACAGGUGCGGGGCGGGCUGCCCUGCUUCCCAAAGACCCGCCUUCCUUUACCGAGAUGGAAAGACUCGAGAGCUCCUGCCAGCCGAGUCCAUCCUCAUCUACGCCCUCUCUUCCCGGAUCCUCCACACACUGGCCUCAGCAGGGCAGGGCCAGCCCUCCACACACCUUCCCAUCCUGGGCUGGAGGAAGGGCUCCGCUGCUUCCCGCCAGAGGGCAGGACAACUCCAGGGUCACCUCUAAUCACAAGGCCUGGGAGCAACCGGACUGGACAACAGAUGACAAAUUCAGAUCAAACCGGAGCCUGGCUAGAAACUCAGUUCUCACCCAAACCUUGGCUCUGCUGCUCCCCUCACAAAGGAACCGCCUGCCCUCCUCAGACCUCAGUGCCAGUCAGGCCCCAGGGCCCUCGCCCGCAGCUCCAGGGCGUGCCUGUACGUUUCCGAAAACGACCUCUGAAAGAUACCAGGGCCACAGCGACUCUGCACCAAGCAGAGUGGCGACAGGCGUUCACAACCACCUCCAGCAUUCACUCCACGUCUAUGUCUACCAUCAAAGAUGUGAGGACGACUGGUUCCAGUUUUCCUACGUCCUUUCCCAGGAGGCCCGCUGAGCUGUCCUUCCUGCUCCUGUCCCAGACCUCCUGUGUGGAGAUGGUGGCUACUCCCACCCAGGCGUCCCCAGAAUUGCCGGCUAAGCAGGAAGAGCAGGGAGCCAGCCCUUCGUGAGACGACUCCCAUGUCCAACAGUCUUCCCACUGGGUCUGCCUGUCCUGACCUGCACCUUCGCGACCCACCAAAAAUCACACGGGCAUCUCCAACAGCCAACCACUCCCAGGCCUGUCCCCAGAGCUCCGAAGUCCUGCAUGCUCUCCCGUGAACUUUGCUAACACGAUGUCCAAUAGCAAGAAGGCUCUGGGGUCUGGACAGAAAACAGACAGGAACACACCACUGUCACCUGCCAACGGCAAAUCCGCACCUGCUGCUCCCGCAGCCGGUUCCACGGGGCAAAGGGGUAGCACCAGCCAGCCUGAGGCCAACAGGGCCCAGCACUGCCUGCUGGAGACCAGUUUCCGCCUCAGGCCUUGACCGAGGGCUCUGGGGCCCUGGCAGGAGCUGGGCUACCUCCCCAGACCUCUGGCAUCACACUCCACUUGGCACCUGCAGUAACUGGGAGGCCUCCUCCUCAGUCUCUAGAAGCCUGGCUUUCGGGGGGAAACGGGCCUGCUCUUUAGAAAGAAAACACCACGGGGAACAUACUCCAGCAUCUUCCCUGGGCCGUUUGGUGUCUCCUGCUCCACUGCCUCCACCCUCAGCCUCAUCCACAGCAAGUGUAACGACCCCACUUAAUCCUCGACCACUGGCCUGUUGGAGCACAGCUCCCCUUUAGCCGGUGACCUGGGCCUGCCCCCAGAAGCCCCCCAGCUGGAGCC